rnacentral:rRNA from 1 species
UUUAUGGAGAGUUUGAUCCUGGCUCAGGAUGAACGCUGGCGGCGUGCCUAAUACAUGCAAGUCGAGCGAACAGACGAGGAGCUUGCUCCUCUGACGUUAGCGGCGGACGGGUGAGUAACACGUGGAUAACCUACCUAUAAGACUGGGAUAACUUCGGGAAACCGGAGCUAAUACCGGAUAAUAUAUUGAACCGCAUGGUUCAAUAGUGAAAGACGGUUUUGCUGUCACUUAUAGAUGGAUCCGCGCCGCAUUAGCUAGUUGGUAAGGUAACGGCUUACCAAGGCAACGAUGCGUAGCCGACCUGAGAGGGUGAUCGGCCACACUGGAACUGAGACACGGUCCAGACUCCUACGGGAGGCAGCAGUAGGGAAUCUUCCGCAAUGGGCGAAAGCCUGACGGAGCAACGCCGCGUGAGUGAUGAAGGUCUUCGGAUCGUAAAACUCUGUUAUUAGGGAAGAACAAAUGUGUAAGUAACUAUGCACGUCUUGACGGUACCUAAUCAGAAAGCCACGGCUAACUACGUGCCAGCAGCCGCGGUAAUACGUAGGUGGCAAGCGUUAUCCGGAAUUAUUGGGCGUAAAGCGCGCGUAGGCGGUUUUUUAAGUCUGAUGUGAAAGCCCACGGCUCAACCGUGGAGGGUCAUUGGAAACUGGAAAACUUGAGUGCAGAAG